ACGGGUGCUUAACACGUGGGCAACCUGCCGAGAAGUGGGGGAUAGCUCGCCGAAAGGCGAAUUAAUACCGCAUGUGAUUAGAAUGGACAUCCAUUCAAAAUUAAAGUCGGGGCAACCUGACGCUUCUUGUGGGGCCCGCGGCCUAUCAGCUAGUUGGUGAGGUAACGGCCCACCAAGGCUUUGACGGGUAGCUGGUCUGAGAGGACGACCAGCCACACUGGGACUGAGACACGGCCCAGACACCUACGGGUGGCAGCAGUCGAGAAUUUUUCUCAAUGGGGGAAACCCUGAAGGAGCGACGCCGCGUGGAGGAUGAAGGUCUUCGGAUUGUAAACUCCUGUCAUUUGGGAACAAUGCGUGCGUAUUAACUGUACGUGCGUUGAUAGUACCAGAAGAGGAAGAGACGGCUAACUCUGUGCCAGCAGCCGCGGUAAUACAGAGGUCUCAAGCGUUGUUCGGAUUCAUUGGGCGUAAAGGGUGCGUAGGCGGCGCGGUAAGUCGGGUGUGAAAUCUCGGGGCUUAACUCCGAAACUGCAUUCGAUACUGCCGUGCUUGAGGACUGGAGAGGAGACUGGAA
rnacentral:rRNA from 1 species